rnacentral:lncRNA from 1 species
UGCUGCUUCUAACAAUUGCCACUUCUGAUCCAUUUUUAUUUUUGUGUAGGGGUUAAGAAACAUACAGAGUAUUUUUCUAUUUUGAUCCAAUACUUUAAAUAUUCUAUCCCACCAUAUUUUGUGGGCAAUACGCUCUUACAUCUACAUUUGUAUAUAUAGUAUUUAAGUAACAACAAAAUAUUAUUAACUGUUUUACUGUUGACAAAAUCCUCAGACACACCUAAAAUGACCUCUUUUGCACUAAAAGGCAAGAAGAUGUCAUAAUUUCUAAUCCAAUCUAUAAUGGAAAACCAGAAGUUUUGUUGUUACAUUACAUUCCCAAAAAAUGUGAAAAAUAUUUUCUCUAACUUCUGAACAAAAUGUACAAAGUUCAGUUUCUUUUAAUUUACAUUUAUA